rnacentral:lncRNA from 1 species
CGCCUGGGAUCCUGCUCAGGUGCGGACCGACCUCGCCCCCUCCGGCCCUGAGGGCGGAUGGUUGCGUCAUCAGGAGCAACAACUCUACGUUUGCAUCCCUGUCCGGCUUCUGAGGUGCUGCCCUGAUGCUAUAGCCUCGGGGAGGUGGAGCUUUGAGGUAACCUGGUCUUUGCUCCAAACCCCAAACUCCUCGACCUCACCGCGUUUGGGUGUCUGUGGGUGGGAACGAGACACCCGGCUCCUGACUGGGAAGGGGGAGUUGCUACACUCACACCCCGGACCUGGAAGCUCGCUCGGUCCUGGUCGGCUCUAAAACGGAAACGCUUCCUCUCAGGACCCCAUGGAGCCCAGAGGGACCAAGAGAAAAGCUGAGAAGACAGAGGUGGCAAAGACUUGGAACAAAUUACCGCGGUCGCUACCCUCACUGCGCACACAGCCUUCUCUGUACUCCGGACCCUUCCCUUUCUACCGGCGCCCUUCCGAACUGGGCUGCUUCUCCCUGGACGCACAGCGCCAGUACCACGGAGAUGCCCGAGCCCUCCGCUACUACAGCCCACCACCCAUCAACGGCCCAGGCCCAGACUUUGACCUCAGAGAUGGAUACCCUGACCGAUACCAGCCCCGGGAUGAGGAGGUCCGAGAGAGGUUGGACCAUUUGCUGCGCUGGGUCCUGGAACACCGAA